ACGCUGGCGGCAUGCUUUACACAUGCAAGUCGGACGGCAGCACAGAGAAGCUUGCUUCUUGGGUGGCGAGUGGCGAACGGGUGAGUAAUAUAUCGGAACGUACCGAGUAAUGGGGGAUAACUAAUCGAAAGAUUAGCUAAUACCGCAUAUUCUCUGAGGAGGAAAGCAGGGGACCUUCGGGCCUUGCGUUAUUCGAGCGGCCGAUAUCUGAUUAGCUAGUUGGUGGGGUAAAGGCCUACCAAGGCGACGAUCAGUAGCGGGUCUGAGAGGAUGAUCCGCCACACUGGGACUGAGACACGGCCCAGACUCCUACGGGAGGCAGCAGUGGGGAAUUUUGGACAAUGGGCGCAAGCCUGAUCCAGCCAUGCCGCGUGUCUGAAGAAGGCCUUCGGGUUGUAAAGGACUUUUGUCAGGGAAGAAAAGGCUGUUGCUAAUACCGACAGCUGAUGACGGUACCUGAAGAAUAAGUACCGGCUAACUACGUGCCAGCAGCCGCGGUAAUACGUAGGGUGCGAGCGUUAAUCGGAACUACUGGGCGUAAAGCGAGCGCAGACGGUUACUUAAGCAGGAUGUGAAAUCCCCGGGCUCAACCUGGGAACUGCGUUCUGAACUGGGUGACUAGAGUGUGUCAGAGGGAGGUAGAAUUCCACGUGUAGCAGUGAAAUGCGUAGAGAUGUGGAGGAAUACCGAUGGCGAAGGCAGCCUCCUGGGAUAACACUGACGUUCAUGCUCGAAAGCGUGGGUAGCAAACAGGAUUAGAUACCCUGGUAGUCCACGCCCUAAACGAUGUCAAUUAGCUGUUGGGCAACUUGAUUGCUUAGUAGCGUAGCUAACGCGUGAAAUUGACCGCCUGGGGAGUACGGUCGCAAGAUUAAAACUCAAAGGAAUUGACGGGGACCCGCACAAGCGGUGGAUGAUGUGGAUUAA
rnacentral:rRNA from 1 species